GAGAGAGUCCGUUUACCCUCCUCUCUCACAUUCGCUCUCUCUCUCUCUCUCUCACACACAUUCUGCAUUGGGGACGAGGAAGAGCUCAAAUAACCGGAGUCCUGGAAAUGCGCGGAUGAGGACGAUGAUUUAUGACCGCACUUGGUUCGCUUUCCCCGGGCUAUCUCUCUAUAAACCUCGGUGUUUAAUUAGGGCUGAGGAAUACAAUGGCAUAUUUUAAAGGAAUUAACGCAGGAGUGGUUGUUCCAAAUACGUCUUCUAUUUGUACCUCCUGAUUCAAAGGCUAGAUCGUCAGGAGUCUAGGUGGUGGUGGUGGUGGUGUCCAUGGGACCCGUCAUGCCUCCCAGUAAGAAGCCUGAGGCGUCUGGCAUCAGCGUGGCCAGCGCCAGCCUCUCCCACCUCUACCAGGCCAGCUCGCUGCAGGAGGCAGAGGAACUCGACCUGGCCUUCCCCGCCCCCUUGGCCCUCCCCUUAGCACCCCUCACCGAUGGAGCCGCCAAGCCUGAGAAAGGCACCUCCACCCCAGGUAUGGAGGACGAGGAGUUGACCAACCUCAACUGGCUCCAUGAGAGCAAGAACCUGCUCAACAGCUUCGGAGACCCUGUCCUGCGCAGUGUCAGCCCCGUGGGGGGCGAAGGGGGUGUGGCCGGUAACCGCGGUGACGGGGACCACGACAACAUGCCGCCAUCGCCGAUAGCGGGCGGGGACCUGCCGUAUGACGACGAUCGGAACCCCAACUGUAAGCCUCCCUAUUCCUUCAGCUGCCUGAUCUUCAUGGCCAUUGAGGACGCUCCGUCCAAGAGGCUGCCGGUGAAGGAGAUAUACACCUGGAUCCUAGAACACUUCUCCUACUUUACCAAUGCUCCCACAGGCUGGAAGAACUCUGUCAGGCACAACCUGUCCCUCAAUAAGUGCUUCAAGAAGGUUGACAAGGACAGGAGCCAGAGCAUUGGGAAGGGGUCCUUAUGGUGUAUAGAUCCUGAGUACAGGCAGAAUUUGAUUCAGGCUUUGAAAAAGACACCUUACCACCCUCACGCCCAGGUCUUCUCAACGCCACCCACCUCUCCUCAGGCAUAUCAGAGCAUGUCCAGUCCUCCCCUAUGGCCAGGGAGUCCCUUCUUCAGAAGAAACGGAGGAGUCCUCCUACAAGUCCCCCAGGGAGUGAUCCAGAACGGAGCCAGAAUGAUGAGUCAUGGGCUGUACACGGGAAUACGACCACUACCCAUCAAUCCCAUAGGGAUCAGAACAGCUGCUGACAGGUCAGUGCUGUCCGGAGGCUGUCGGAAGCGUAGCGACAGCAAUCCCCCCUGUGACUCCCCAUUAGUUAGCAGCGACCCCAAGGAGGACCACACCUACAGCACCAACCAAUCGGAUGACGGCAGCGACUACACCAGCGACUCCAGUCUCCGCCCCAUUGCCCGUGACGUCGCCAACGAUUCAGACUUUGACUACGAGGACGACGAAGACGACAAGAGCAAGAUCCAGCUGGAGAUCAAGAAGGAGGAGCCGCGCGAUUGGCCUAUAGACACGUUAGACUCCACCCUUUCCAGCCAGCAGCACAACAAGAAGCGGCAUCACUUCCUGAAAGCCAAGCAGCGGAUGGGCGUGGCUAGCGACACCCUCCCGCUAAAAAAACGGCGCUCAGAAAAGCCGCCAGAGAGUGAUGACGAGGAGAUGAAGGAGGCGGCGGGUUCGCUGCUCCACUUGGCUGGCGUCCGGGCCUGCUUGAACAAUAUCACCAACAGAACCGCCAAGGGCCAGAAAGAACAGAAAGAACCCACAAAAAACUGACCACAGAAAGACAGAGAUAGAGAGAGAGAGACAGAGAGAGAGAGACAGAGAGAGAGAGAGAGAGGGAGAGAGAGACAGAGAGAGAGACAGAGAGAGAGAAACAGAGAGAGAGAGAGACAGAGAGAGAGAGAGAGGGAGAGAGACAGAGAGAGAGACAGAGAGAGAGAGACAGAGAGAGAGAGAGAGAGAGAGCGAGAGAGAGAGAGAGAGAAAGACAGAGAGAGAAAGACGGAGAGAGAGAGACAAGGAGAGAGACAAGGAGAGAGAGACAGAGAGAGAGAGAGACAGGGAGAGAGAGACAGAGAGACAGAGAGAGAGAGAGAGAGAGAGAGAGAGAGAGAGAGAGAGAGAGAGAGAGACAGAGACAGAGCGAGAGAGACAAAGAGAAAUACAAAACAUCACUUUUAAUAUAGAAAUGUACACUGUCUUUUUUCCAGGACAUCAGGUGAAUUCUGAAAGAUUUGUGGCAAUAUCAAAAACAAUCACUUUGUUUUCCUAUCUUUAAAGUUAAUGUUUUUGAAGGUUGCAAAAAAAUAUGUUUUUUUUAUUUGUUUUGUUUGUUUUUUUAUUUGUUUAAAGGAUAUUAAAGCCAUAGCCAAAACUUUUUCUGAUAUUCAGCUAAGUUAGCAGGUUUCUGUUGGCUGAAAAUAACACGAAUGAGAAACAAAAAUGAAAACUGCCCCAUCCAUGGAUCGGCUUGGUUGUAUGAAUAGAGUAGGGGGAUCAAAUUGUUACUCUUUUCAAAAUGUACCCAGUCCCAAACUAUUACCCUUUACAGGCUCAUCAGACGCAGCUAACACUACAUAAUACAUUUCAGCAGGAUCAUACACUUGUUAUUUCUGUGGAAUUUCCUGGUAUAAAGUUCUUAUGGGGUGCUUAUCACUGACUAUUUUGUUUUUACAGUGAUAUAGAUCAUUAAAAUGUAAUAAAGUAAGUAUUCAGGGUCAGAUCUUAACAUGAGAUUGAUGUCUAAGGCCUGCAUAUUCCUGUUAGGAUGUGACCAUAUACCUCAAUAUGUCACAAUAAAUAAGCACAAAUACACAUGCUAUCCUGGCUAAAGCAAUGUUAUAUUAGUCAACUAGUUCACUGAAGUAAUACAGGUAUAUGCUGAAGUAAUACAGGUAUAUGCUGAAGUAAUACAGGUAUAUGCUGAAGUAAUACAGGUAUAUGCUGAAGUAAUACAGGUAUAUGCUGAAGUAAUACAGGUAUAUCCCCUUUGUUCGGCAUCAGACUUUCGAAAACAAUGGUGCUAAUAUGUCGGCUAUUUAAAAAUAUAUAUUUUAAACCUAGUUUGCCAAACUCUGUCUUGUCUGUGUGCGAAGCAGCUUCCCCAGAUAUAUCUUUGACAUUAAAUGAUGUGAUGCUGUUAGCUUAGUGACCAUUAGCCUAGCUAAGCUCGUAGAAAAUAUACUCAUCAGUUAUCCUAGUCUAACUAAGCCCAUAGAAAAGACACUCGGUAGCCAGUUUUUGUAUGUCCUUCCUUUGUCGUGUCAGUAUUGAAACAGUGCCAUAUAGGUAUUGGUCAGCCCACUGAUGAUGGUAGCACUUCCUUAGCUAGCUGUCUUUCUGACUGCUAAUCACAUUUAGCCACUGGCACUAGCUAGCAUGCCAAGGCAGAGGGGACAGUGUUGUUUUCCCCUUAAAGGUUGACUGUAGGACUGUAGUGAGGUGAAGUUCGCUGGUACAAGUGGGAUGAAGGAAGGGUUUUGUUUUGUUCCUGACGUGGUCUUCUCUAAAUGUAAGCUAAUUGUGUUUGGUAAAAGCCAUCGGCUAAUAGUCUGGCUCGCGCUUAUCAGAGAGGAAAAUAACAGAAAAUAUGUUGAGAGAACCUCAAAAUUGUCCCUUUGUCCUUUUAUGAAAGCAAUGGACAAGAAUAACUGGAGUUUUACUCCAGUGAUAUAGUGAUAUUCUCCCCGUGGCACAACCACCUGAACACCUUGAUGUGUUGGAUGGGAAAUGAUGCUGUGAAACAUGUGAUUUCGUGUGAGAAGAACAGUCAUAUGACUGUGGAGCUGUUUAUUUUAGUGUUUGUUUGUGUUUACUAACCUACCCUCAUGACGUAAUAAAGCAAUUUCAUCCCGUCAGGAUAACACUGUAUAAAAAGUUAAACUAGAGUUUUAGAAUUUUUUUGCUAAGUUUAAGCAAUGUAGCCAGCAUGAUUUCUUUCUCUCCAAAUCGUGUUGUAUGGGUUCUGUAAAGAAAAAGAUAAAAACAUGUUUAUAUUCAGACAAAGAUCAUGUUUGGUAAAUAAUGUAUCUAGCAUGAAGCAUGAAUUAUUUUCAUAUAAGUAUCCUAGCGAGCUAAAAGGUUCUGCCUGGAAGUUCUGUGUCCAUAGGUGUGGAAUCCUUCUCUGUUGUUUUGUCUUUUUGAUUUGCUGGUUCCUUUCUUGUCAUCCUCACUCAACCUUGUUUUAACUUGGGCUUUGAUACAGUCAGACAAACUUAUUCAGGGACAAAAAGCUGGUCUGUUGGGCAAAUCUCUGUCUGCGAUAUGAUGGUACCUCUCUAUCCUCCCGUUGGUAGAUGGCAACUUCCUUCAUCCAUAGUGGAUAAAACUACCAUGUCCCAAUGUUUGUUUGUGGUCACUAGAUGGCCAUGUUAGAAAGGACACAACUGACAAAAUGGUCAGAUCUUCUUGGCAUGAAGAUGAGUGAUUUCUGCGUUAAAAGGACCAAACGUCCUCUGUCUUCUCCAGCAUGGCCGUAUAGUGACCUUGUGUCUGAUGGGUUCUCCCUGACAGGUGAAUGUUGAAGCCUGUGUGAUUAAAGGUGAGGUUGGGUGGUAGUGAGUGUCUGUUCUCUCACCCUUCCUCCUCUGUGUCUGAUGGCUUCUCCCUGACAGGUGAAUGUUGAAGCCUGUGUGAUUAAAGGUGAGGUUGGGUGGUAGUGAGUGUCUGUUCUCUCACCUUUCCUCCUCUGUGUCUGAUGGCUUCUCCCUGACAGGUGAAUGUUGAAGCCUGUGUGAUUAAAGGUGAGGUUGGGUGGUAGUGAGUGUCUGUUCUCUCACCUUUCCUCCUCUGUGUCUGAUGGCUUCUCCCUGACAGGUGAAUGUUGAAGCCUGUGUGAUUAAAGGUGAGGUUGGGUGGUAGUGAGUGUCUGUUCUCUCACCUUUCCUCCUCUGUGUCUGAUGGCUUCUCCCUGACAGGUGAAUGUUGAAGCCUGUGUGAUUAAAGGUGAGGUUGGGUGGUAGUGAGUGUCUGUUCUCUCACCUUUCCUCCUCUGUGUCUGAUGGCUUCUCCCUGACAGGUGAAUGUUGAAGCCUGUGUGAUUAAAGGUGAGGUUGGGUGGUAGUGAGUGUCUGUUCUCUCACCUUUCCUCCUCUGUGUCUGAUGGCUUCUCCCUGACAGGUGAAUGUUGAAGCCUGUGUGAUUAAAGGUGAGGUUGGGUGGUAGUGAGUGUCUGUUCUCUCACCUUUCCUCCUCUGUGUCUGAUGGCUUCUCCCUGACAGGUGAAUGUUGAAGCCUGUGUGAUUAAAGGUGAGGUUGGGUGGUAGUGAGUGUCUGUUCUCUCACCUUUCCUCCUCUGUGUCU